CACGUAGGGUGCGAGCGUUGUCCGGAAUUAUUGGGCGUAAAGAGCUCGUAGGCGGUGUGUCACGUCGGCCGUGAAAACCUGCAGCUUAACUGUGGGCGUGCGGUCGAUACGGGCAUCACUGGAGUUCGGCAGGGGAGACUGGAAUUCCUGGUGUAGCGGUGAAAUGCGCAGAUAUCAGGAGGAACACCGGUGGCGAAGGCGGGUCUCUGGGCCGAUACUGACGCUGAGGAGCGAAAGCCGUGGGGAGCAAACAGG
rnacentral:rRNA from 1 species